GUAGGUGGCAAGCGUUGUCCGGAAUUAUUGGGCGUAAAGCGCGCGCAGGCGGUUCUUUAAGUCUGAUGUGAAAGCCCACGGCUCAACCAUGGAGGGUCAUUGGAAACUGGAGAACUUGAGUACAGAAGAGGAAAGCGGAAUUCCACGUGUAGCGGUGAAAUGCGUAGAGAUGUGGAGGAACACCAGUGGCGAAGGCGGCUUUCUGGUCUGUAACUGACGCUGAGGCGCGAAAGCGUGGGGAGCAAACAGGAUUAGAUACCCUGGUAGUCCACGCCGUAAACGAUGAGUGCUAAGUGUUAGGGGGUUUCCGCCCCCCUUAGUGCUGCAGCUAACGCAUUAAGCACUCCGCCUGGGAGUACGGCCGCAAGGCUA
rnacentral:rRNA from 1 species